rnacentral:SRP_RNA from 1 species
GCUGGGCAUGGUGGUGGACGCCUGUAAUCCCAGCUACUUGGGAGGCUGAGGCAGGAGAAUCGCUUGAACCUGGGAGGUGGAGGUUGCAGUGAGCCAAGAUCGUGCCACUGCACCUUCACCCCGGGUGAAAGAGUGAGACUCCAUCUCAA